UCACAAAAUUUAAAUAAUGCUAAAAUAUUUUAAUCGCUGAAAUUAAUUAGCAAAAAUUAGUUUCUUCAACAAAACCCUCGUAACAAUUCACUCCGACAAUUGAUUACAUUCGACAAUAACGUGAAUUUGCCAGAGCCGAGAAAUUCGAUUAAAAGACAGAAAGAAGAUAUUUUCAGAGGAUUUUAACAUUUCAUUCGCAAACAUCGUGGUUUCCGACUCUACAUAUCAAUUAGCUAUAUCACAUCAAUGAAGAAAAACGAUCGUCCACGAUUCCUUGAUUCCAGAAGAAGAAUGUAAAAUUUCUAAGAUUUAUUCUUGAUUCUGAUGCAACAGAGCUUUCGUCAGACGCUCCAAUUACAGUUCUAUUUCUAAAUUCGAACUGCAGUUGGAGUGUCCGACAAGGUAAGUGUUAAAAGUAUUGAGGACCUAUCGGAUUCUAACGAUAAUUAUUCUUCCAAAGAGAAAAAUAUACAGAAGAAACUGGCUUUAUUCAAAGGCAUGGCUUGAAGGGGCAAAAAUUGAGAAUAAGAUAACAUUAGAAGGGAAUUCGUGAAAAGUGAAGAGAAUUUGGAAGGAGAAAAAAUACUUCUCGCGAGACAGUCCGUCUAUUCACUAGAGGACCAGCUUCAAAGAGUAGAUCCAAUCCCGAGAUUUCCCAAUUGAUAAGUAAAAACGUGGACAACAAUUUCGACUUGGAGAGCAAAUGCAAAUCAUUUUAAAUCAGUGGCAAUAUUUUGACGUUUUGUCUUUUAUUGGCUAGAAAAAUUCUAAGAGUGAAAACUUAAAACAAUAUAAUCCAGUUAUAUACUUGGAUGGGUUGCUGUCUUCAGAUUUCAGGUAAGGUGAUGUAUUAGGGCUUGGUAAAUGCCAUUUAUUUCCUGAGAAAGGUAACCAACAGUAGUUAACGUCCUCAAUAUGAAUGGAGUAAUGGUUCAGGAUUAUUGUAAAAGUUUUGAUGGGCUGGUAGUUGAUAGCAUGACUGCGUUCUCCCUUGGAGCAAAUGGACGCUAUGAAUUUAAAUAAGUUAUUCAUGGCGGCGAAUAUUCCUCACGUCAAACAAAAUUCAGCAGAUGAAAGUGAAGAAUUGUGUUGUAUGGAACCUAGCUCCCAUUCAGGAGAUAUCUUUUCUUAGCACUUUUAUGCCAGUAACGUAAAGAUGAAAGCAUCGAGUACAAGACACUGUUCAUUAGAUACGUAAGCAGAGAAGAUCAGUUUUCCUCCGUUUCGAUUACGUUUGUUAUAAUGUGUGCAAUAGAAUAGAACAAAUGAAACAGGUAAGUUCUGAGCUUUCUAUACCCAGUUAGAAUUUUUUCAGAUAGUACUUGGGAGAUAGUUCAGUUUGUGCUGGUGUAGUUAAAUUUUUUCAUAAUUUCCGUCAUCCGAUCUUCUAUAGAGAUAGUAUAUUCUUAUAGCUUAUCAUAGUAUCGAUACUUAUAGAUUUUUGAAAACUUUGCGAAAUAAAUUUUACAAAUUGAAGAGGUAUCUUUUUCUCUUGACGUCCAUCCUCUCCAUUUCCUAAAAUUUCAGAUUAGCCUAGGAGCUGAGAGGAAAUCAAUUAUAAGAGUUGGUGAUAUUUCCGAAAAUAAUUUUGAGUAUUAACUAGAAGUUUGUUAUUAUUAAAAAAUAUUGGAAAUGAAAUGACGGGCCAUUAGGUUGUCACAUACGGUUGAUAAUCCGAAACAUGAUCUUUCCUUUUAAUUGAAUUUGUGGGACCUUUUCCCUCCAGAGCGGUUGUUUGAUAUGACUGGCAGAAUUCUAGAUGUCUCUGUGCUGAAUUAAAAAUGGCAGCCAUAAGGGAUAAGACUUGAUAGUAACGUCUUUAAUUUUUCAAAGAAAAAAUUCAAAUUUCUUGUCAUUUUAGAUAUUUAACUAUUAAAUUGUAAUUAUUUGAGUGUUUUUAAGGGGAUCAAC